rnacentral:lncRNA from 1 species
GAGGAAAAUGGAACACUUUAUUCAAUAGAUGUUAUUAUAUUAAUAGAUGAAAUUUUCAUAUUAAGAUUUAAAUGGAAUUUUACUCCUUUAGCUGGAAUUUUAUAUUAAGAUUUUUCUCUCCAACUGAGUAGGUGAGUUAAUUCCUUUUGUUCUUACUGAAGAUGGUUAAACAUAAAAUCUGUUUUUAAGGGAGACUUCCAUGCAGUGAAUCUAGCUGAAGUGACAUUGAACGAUGUAAUACACCACAUACAGAUUCAUUUUUCAAUUUAAAUUAUUUGACAAAAGUGAAGAUGUCUUAUGUUUUGUAUGUGAUUUUCCACAUGCUACAUUCUGUAAACAGACUCCAUUUGAGCUACUUCCUGUAGUUUUGUCUGUAGCACUUUUCAGGAAUGACUUAUUUUGAGGCAGACUUUUUGCCUUUCUGUGAUGCAAUAAUUGCCUAUAGAGAAGCAACAGCUUUUCAAAUUGAAACUCGAGGCAGGGAGGUGGGGAGUCAUAGGUGGCAUAUAUUUAAUAUUUGGAGAAAAUUACAGAAUAUAGGCUAGAAAUUUGUUACUAAUCUGGGCUA